UCAUGGCUCAGGAUGAACGCUGGCGGCGUGCUUAACACAUGCAAGUCGAACGAAGCACUUUCUUACGAUCCCUUCGGGGUGACGAGUUUGUGACUGAGUGGCGGACGGGUGAGUAACGCGUGGGUAACCUGCCUUAUACAGGGGGAUAACAGUUGGAAACGGCUGCUAAUACCGCAUAAGCGCACAGUAUCGCAUGAUACAGUGUGAAAAACUCCGGUGGUAUAAGAUGGACCCGCGUCUGAUUAGCUAGUUGGUGAGGUAACGGCUCACCAAGGCGACGAUCAGUAGCCGAUCUGAGAGGAUGAACGGCCACAUUGGGACUGAGACACGGCCCAGACUCCUACGGGAGGCAGCAGUGGGGAAUAUUGCACAAUGGGCGAAAGCCUGAUGCAGCGACGCCGCGUGAGCGAUGAAGUAUUUCGGUAUGUAAAGCUCUAUCAGCAGGGAAGAUAAUGACGGUACCUGACUAAGAAGCACCGGCUAAAUACGUGCCAGCAGCCGCGGUAAUACGUAUGGUGCAAGCGUUAUCCGGAUUUACUGGGUGUAAAGGGAGCGUAGGCGGUCUUGCAAGUCUGAUGUGAAAGCCCGGGGCUCAACCGCGGGAUUGCAUUGGAAACUGUAGGACUUGAGUAUCGGAGAGGUAAGUGGAAUUCCUAGUGUAGCGGUGAAAUGCGUAGAUAUUAGGAGGAACACCAGUGGCGAAGGCGGC
rnacentral:rRNA from 1 species